CGGAGGGGGCUAGCGUUGUUCGGAAUUACUGGGCGUAAAGCGCACGUAGGCGGCGAUUUAAGUCAGAGGUGAAAGCCCGGGGCUCAACCCCGGAACAGCCUUUGAGACUGGAUUGCUUGAACAUCGGAGAGGUGAGUGGAAUUCCGAGUGUAGAGGUGAAAUUCGUAGAUAUUCGGAAGAACACCAGUGGCGAAGGCGGCUCACUGGACGAUUGUUGACGCUGAGGUGCGAAAGCGUGGGGGAGCAAACAGGAUUAGAUACCCUGGUAGUCCACGCCGUAAACGAUGAUAACUAGCUGCUGGGGCUCAUGGAGUUUCGGUGGCGCAGCUAACGCAUUAAGUUAUCCGCCUGGGGAGUACGGUCGCAAGAUUA
rnacentral:rRNA from 1 species